rnacentral:rRNA from 1 species
UACCUGGUUGAUCCUGCCAGUAAUCAUAUGCUUGUCUCAAAGAUUAAGCCAUGCAUGUCUAAGUACAUGCCGAAAUAAGGCGAAACCGCGAAUGGCUCAUUAAAUCAGUUAUGGUUCCUUAGAUCGUUUCUUCCUACUUGGAUAACUGUGGCAAUUCUAGAGCUAAUACAUGCAGUGAGCCUGAAGCCCUUUGGGCGACGGGUGCUUUUAUUAGACCAAGAUCGAUCGGGUUUCGGCCCGUAUUGUGUGGUGACUCUGGAUAACUUUGUGCUGAUCGCAUGGCCACGAGCCGGCGACGUUUCUUUCAAGUGUCUGCCUUAUCAACUUUCGAUGGUAGGUUACUUGCUUACCAUGGUUGUUACGGGUAACGGAGAAUCAGGGUUCGAUUCCGGAGAGGGAGCCUGAGAAACGGCUACCACAUCCAAGGAAGGCAGCAGGGCGCGCAAAUUACCCACUCCCGGCACGGGGAGGUAGUGACGAAAAAUAACAAUACGGGACUCUUUUGAGGCCCCGUAAUUGAAAUGAGUACACUCUAAAUCCUUUAACGAGGAUCAAUUGGAGGGCAAGUCUGGUGCCAGCAGCCGCGGUAAUUCCAGCUCCAAUAGCGUAUACUAAAGCUGCUGCGGUUAAAAAGCUCGUAGUUGGAUCUCAGUUCCAGACGAGUAGUGCAUCUACCCGAUGCGACGGCUCGGACUGAACAUCAUGCCGGUCCUUUCUUGGUGCACUUCAUUGUGUGCCUCGAGAAGGCCGGUGCUUUUACUUUGAAAAAAUUAGAGUGCUCAACGCAGGCGAGUCGCCUGAAUAAACUUGCAUGGAAUAAUAGAACAAGACCUCGUUUCUGUUCUGUUGGUUUUUGGAAUACGAGGUAAUGAUUAAGAGGGACAGACGGGGGCAUUCGUAUUGCGGCGCUAGAGGUGAAAUUCUUGGACCGUCGCAAGACGAACUACUGCGAAAGCAUUUGCCAAGAAUGUUUUCUUUGAUCAAGAACGAAAGUCAGAGGUUCGAAGGCGAUCAGAUACCGCCCUAGUUCUGACCAUAAACGAUGCCAACCAGCGAUCCGCCUGAGUUACUCAAAUGACUCGGCGGGCAGCUUCCGGGAAACCAAAGUGUUUGGGUUCCGGGGGAAGUAUGGUUUGCAAAGCUGAAACUUAAAGGAAUUGACGGAAGGGCACCACCAGGAGUGGAGCCUGCGGCUUAAUUUGACUCAACACGGGAAAACUUACCCGGCCCGGACACUGGGAGGAUUGACAGAUUGAGAGCUCUUUCUUGAUUCGGUGGAUGGUGGUGCAUGGCCGUUCUUAGUUGGUGGAGCGAUUUGUCUGGUUAAUUCCGAUAACGAACGAGACUCUAGCCUAUUAAAUAGGUGCGGGGUUCCCAGCACCUUACAACCUUCUUAGAGGGACAAGCGGCUCCUAGCCGCACGAAACAGAGCAAUAACAGGUCUGUGAUGCCCUUAGAUGUCCGGGGCCGCACGCGCGCUACACUGAAGGAAGCAGCGUGUCUUUAUCCCUGUCUGAAAGGACUGGGUAACCCGUGGAACUUCUUUCGUGAUUGGGAUAGGGGCUUGCAAUUGUUCCCCUUGAACGAGGAAUUCCCAGUAAGCGCGAGUCAUAAGCUCGCGUUGAUUACGUCCCUGCCCUUUGUACACACCGCCCGUCGCUACUACCGAUUGAAUGAUUUAGUGAGGUCUUCGGACCGAUGUCCGGCGCGGCCUUUCGGUUGCGCCGGUCUGUUGGAAAGAUGACCAAACUUGAUCAUUUAGAGGAAGUAAAAGUCGUAACAAGGUUUCCGUAGGUGAACCUGCGGAAGGAUC